GUCUCUGUAUCUAAUUGAGUCUGGACUGGUAGAACAUGAAAGUGGGUGACUAGGUAGGAAUUUUCUAAUGGACGUUUAUCCUUUAAGAGUUCUCUAGGGUUGCUCAAUCAUAGAAGAAAGGACUGAGAAUGCUUUGUCUACACACUGAUCUGAUCUAGCACCCUUCUAUGUUGGCCUAAGCUUUUUGGUGUAGAAUCUUCCUGGUGACUGCUAUCCUUUGUCCACUUGGCAAUCCAUUGGCUUCUGUCUGUUUCCUGGUCUACCUGUGUCCUUGUUAUCAGUGUCUCCACGUGUUUUUCAAAUGGGCUGUUUGUGCUUGCUGUUUACAUAGAUGUGUAUAGAUGUUUAGGUCAUCUACUUUUGGCAACCAAUGGAAGGCUCCGUAAGUACGUUCCUGAGUCCUUGCCUUCAGAAUUAUGCCCAGAGGGGCACUGAGCAAAUAAGGUGAGCCAUGUUAAUGACACCUUGGGUUGAAGACACAUUUGAGAUUACUCCUUUGCUGUCUUGAAAUCCUAAAAUCAGGUUACCCUGAAUCCAUGAUGCUUUUCCUAAACUGGAAUAUUGUAGAAGUUAAAUAUUCCAAGUGGAAAUGGGGAUGGAGUCUUCAAUUGUGAAGCAUUUUAUCAAACUGAUGUGAUUAUAGUGUUUUUUACAUGAGAACUAUCUUCUCCAACAAGUGAAAUAUCAUGACCUGACAUUACCCUACCCUUUCCAAAUAGCAGGCAGACAGUUUAGAGCAACUAAAAACAGUGUAAGUGCCCCAAGCACUUUAGGAGCUGAAAUAAUCACAACUUUCCUCUUGCAACAAUGCCUACUGGUUAGACAUUCACAAGACUUUUCACUGUCUUUGUACUUCACUGUUUGUGGGAGGGGUAGAUGAAAAGAAAAAAAGAAAGGGGAGAGGCAGGAAUGUAGCCCAAGAUCUCAGGAGGAGGGAGCCUUUAGCUGGAGCCUCCCUCUUUUUCUCCCAAGAGGAUGAUAUCAGGAUAGUAAAUUACCAACCCUGGGGAAUCAGCUUGUCUUUUAAGGCUAUUAAAGGGACCAAGAUGAGCUGGAUUCCUAAAUGAGCUUUGAGGAUUACUCUGCCAGGUGGAAGGUGACUGACCAUGGGGGAAGGAGAAAUUGGCUCCCAGUAUAUCAUUUUUGAGCUGUCCAACGGUAAUCCCCACACUGAUUUAAGCAGGAGGCAUUUGAGAUACUAAUGGACAAUUGCCUCUUGCUUUUCUCUGAUAACAGCAGGUGCUCUCAGCAGCAGCAGCUUAUCCUAGGUAUGGAGAAUGUGAAAGGUGGGAGCCUUGGACAGGACAUGAGGAUAGAGGAGAGAUGCGGAUUGGCACCUGGAGGGACGCGGGACAGAUUUGGAAAUGGCAGGUAUCAUCUCAGUCCCCAAAGGGAGCUGCCUCUCAGACUGAGUUUUGGGAAGAAAGAUCAGGACUGCUCUUGUUCAGCAGAGGGAAUAUAGCUUCAGGGGCAGAUGUCAUUCUUCAAAGGCAGGAGCUAAUUUUCUCUCUGGAUUAAGGAAAAGAUUCAUGAGGUCAAUGGUGUGGGCUGUGCAACCCACUCAGUGGCUGUCCUGGAAACAUCAAUCAAGUCCAGGCAUCCAGUCUUGACCACUGGCAAAUAUCUAUUUUAGGUUGACCCCAUCCUUUCUUGCUGGAGGGAGGAGAUGUUAUUCAAUGUGUCAGGGAACUUAUUAAACUGCUAGAUGGCAAUAUUUUAAAGUUAACUUUAAAAAAAGUGUCCUUGGCAUAUGAGCUCUGAGAGGAUAUUGGGAUCGUUUUUUGACAGGCGAAAAGCCCUAACACAGGCGUUUGGGUAGAUGGAUGAGUUAGAGGCUUCGUGGGCUUUCACCUGGAUGAUUGCAAUGUCCAUAAUGGUGGUCUCAUCCUCUGAAGUCUCCCCACAUCAGUCUGCUACCCUCCACACUGUUUUCAGUGUGUAAUUUCUAAAAAGGCAUUAAAACAAAACAAAACAAAACAAAAAAACCCUUUGCUUAAAAACCUCCAGAGACUCCUGGUUUCUAUCAUUGAUACAGUCUUGGUUCCCCAGCAUGCCUAUUACCGUAUUCAUCAUCUGAUUUCAACAUGCUUUUCCAGGCUCAUCUCCCAUUACUUUUUGCCCCGAAUGUCUGCUCCAGCCCCUAGAAACCACACGUUUCCCUGUGGAUGUGCUCUUCUCUUUUCUACCUGAGCUUGUUGCUGGUCCCUCUCACUGAAAUCUGUCUCCUCCACCAUGCAUUGGCAGGGGGAUGCCCAAGAACCAGUUCCAAUGUCACCUCACUUAAAAGCCUCCUCUGGUAGCUGCGCUUCUGCACACUUCCCGAUUAAGGCAGAUUUUGUGGUUUCCUCUGCUGUUCUUGCAAAUAAUUUUUAGUAAAUUUCUGCUAGAACACUUGCCCCUGCUGUACAAAUUAUAUUGUAAUUUUUUGUUAAUAUGCCUACCUUCUCCAAUGGAACUGGGAGACUAUUCUCGUUCACUUUUUUCUUCAGUUUCAGCAUCUAUUACAGUACCUAGGAGAGGUACUCAGUACAUACUGGAAAAGAAAAUGAAUGAAGGCUUGAAUGAAUGUAGAAAAGAAUAGAGCACAGAAACAGAGAUCUCCAAUGAAUAGAUAGGAAAGGCCUAUAGGAGGUUAUGUGCUCCCCCGCCCCCAGCCGCUCUCCCCCUUCCAACUUACUGCAGGCAAUUUGCACCUAAACUGUCCUUUAUUUUUCUGUUCCAUCGUGUCUUGUUGCCCUCAAUUGCUGUAGUCUGAUGUUGACCCUGCAUGACAAGCAGAUCAACUCCUAAUCUGCCAGAGCCCCAGUUUUUCUGGGACAUUUGCAAGCUCCUGACAGAACCCGAGGAGAGGAAAACUGUCAGCCCUCACUUGUCAGUUCUUGGAGCAGCCAGUCCAAGGCUUAAUUUGCACCUUGAAAUCCCCUGGGGCCACCAUGGCUCUGAUUGCUGGUUUAGGCCCCUUCAAUAGUUUAUCUUAGGGGAUAAGUAGGAUAGAAUGAUGGAGGAUGAGGACUAUCACCACUUUAUUGUUGCAUCUCCAAAAAGCCGGGAUGGAGCAGGGGUGUGGGGAUAGGGGUGUAGACAGGGAAAUAGAAAAUGAGGAAUGAAUAGACUGGUUUUAAGUUUCACACCAAAUUAGAAUACUAAUGGGGAAAUUGAGUUGGGAAACAUUAAAAAAACACAAAGAUGACUCAGUGUAAACAGCACUGUCUAAAAAGCAGCAGAAGAUCCACACAGGGAGAAGCUGCACUUGAGUGAUAAUAAAGGAGGCAGCUAAAGCAAAGAGAUCUCCCCGUCUGCACCAGGUUUCUAUCACUUAAUCAAAACUGACUCCAGCCACUGCAGCUGCAAAAAAAUGUUCCCAACCUUCCAUUAAUUUCCAUACAAUAACCCUGUAAUGGGGGAGCUGUUCGGGGGAGGAGCUCAAUCAAUCUGGCCUAAUGACACACUGGAGACCUGGGGAAAAUGCAAACUUGGAGCAAUUUCAUGGCAGGUGCAACCUUGGAAAGCAUUACCAUUUUUCUACGUUAAUUUGUUCCCUUGGUAUGUUUGAAAUCCAUAUUUGUACUUUAAAGAUCUAAAAUGCAAGAUGAUUAAAAAAUAUAACCGGAUUUUUGUAAACCUUUCAGCAAUAGCGGGUGAUAUAUUUGCUGCCUCCCUCUUUCCUCUCCUCUGUGAGCAGGGAUCACUUUGCCUUCUUUUAUCCUUUGCUGUCAUCUGAGGUGGCUGUAGAUUCUCUGUUUUGUUUACUAUUUUUAGGUUUUCCCUUGGCUCCCGCCUUCCGGAACCCUUUUGCACUCUGGGCAGAACCAAUCUAGGAAAUGGCAGCCAGACCUCUGGGUGGGAUUUAGACCCUAGAGGAGGAGGAGCAAAGAAAUCCCAUUCCCGGAUUGGUCGUGGGUGGAGAGACUGCAAUGUCUUCUCCUUGUCUUGAGCUCUUCCUCCGUGCCCAACUUUUCUUCCCAGACAGGUGAAGAAAGGUCCAGGGAAACAAAAACAAAAUCUGGCACUUGGCCCUCAUUCAAGAAAUCGAGAAUUCAAGAAAACUAGUCCCUUGAUUUCUCAGUUUCACUGGCCCUCCCCUGGCCUUGCAGCCUGAAGCUGGCAUCUGGAGGUCAUCUAGGCAGAAGCCUAGAUGUCCUUGGCAAAUCCUUUUCCUCUUAGAACUUGUCCUAGGAAGUAAAAGGAGAAGUACUCUCUGCCCCACUGAAAUACACACACAUUCUCUCUCUGUCUCUUUUUCUCUCUCUCCCCUUCAAACAUCUACUUGGAAUAAAAUGAUCAUGUGCAGAUUUCUGCUCCCUGGUUUGCCAUCUUGCCAAAGGCCUUAUAGACUAGCACUGUUUAUGGAACGUGCAGGUAACUUCCCUGCCUCUCCUCCACUUUAAUCUAGGGAACUUUAUGUUGAAAGAACCCUUUCUAGACUCUUGCGGAUUAUUCUUCCCAUGCUUCAAGUGGCUUUUCCCAUUCCGGAAGCAAGGCACGUUGGGAGCCCUGGGUAUAUCUCUCAUUGGUAGGGCAUUCAAAAAACCAGAACCUCGUAAGUUCUUCCAGCCUUUGAAAUAAGGUAUAUUUCAUUCCAUUUAGCCUUAAGGUUUAUAAAUUAAUCCAAAAACUCUCUGAGAAAUGCAUUUGCCGUCAUAAUUGAGAAUUUGAUGAUAACUUACUCAAGAAUCCAGCUCUAAGGCUCAUUGAUGGUGCUUAGAGUUCAAGGGUUUCAUGCUGCUUAACUCUGUUAAGUGCUCUGGGAUGAAUUACCACUGGAGAGAAACAUAGAUCUUUUAGGGCCAGAAGUUAGCAGACAGUCUUUUUUUCUGAACUAUCAUUAAUUAGCUCUUUGGGAGCUUUAAUUCCUUGCUCAGAAAGAGGGAAUUAACAUUCAUUCCAUACUUAGGAAAUAUUCUCUUUACUGUCUUGCACUGAUACUAUCCCAGCACCUUAGUAUAGUAGCUGUGAGAAUGCCCCAUGCAAACCUCUAACUCCAGGGGGGCAUAGUUAACCAAGAGUCCCAGCUGCUGGGCUCUGAGCUGCAUUACUGUGUUUAUGCCAAGGUCACACCUCCCAGAGGUGGCUCCCAGACAGUGACUGAGGUUGGCAGGGAUACUAAGGCAAACCAAACUCUAGGAAAUACCGGAUUCUUUAGAUCUCAUCUUGAUAAUUGCUCUAUGGCCCUGCUGUACUGUCCUGAGUCUUCAUGGUGAUCUAAGACAAUUCUACCCAAUCUUUCUUCCUGUCUUUUUUCUUUGGAAGUCUCAGACUUGCAUGGUAGUCUGAUGGCUCUUCGCGUCUCCCUAGCUCCCUUCUUAUUUUCUCUUACAGGUAUAUUCUCUGUAAAAGUAUUUCACCAUGUUUAAUCUCAGCUUGGUGUCUGUUUAUCAAAGAACUUGGACUAACACGAAUAGUCGCAGGCACCAGAGAGACUAUGUCUCCUGGAAAAUGAGAAUUCAAUUGGUUAUAUUCCACUAGGCUUCAGCAGUUCAGAUAGCAUUAUUUAUUUUGCAUUUAAAGGUAAGGACUGCAGUAUAAAAUAAUGCCCAAAAAACCUGUUGAACUCUUAGAUUUUUAUCUUGGUUUUGGAACCUUCCAUCUGCGUGCAGAAUUCAUUUUAUUCUAGAAAUAUGUUACCUUUCUGCUCCUCACCAUGUGAUCUGUGUAUGGCACUCUAGGUAACAGGAGCUGACAUUUAUUGUUAAACCUGCUUCUUGAAUCACUCUGAGGGAGACCAUAAAUGUCUCUGAUGUGAUUCCAUAUAGAGACUUAAAAUGGCAAUGUUAUCUAUAUGUGCAAUUAUGAUUCGUCUGUUUCUCUCAAAAGAUUACAAGUGCUGGAAAGAGGCUGUAACUUUUUUUUUUUUUUUGGUGAAGUGGGGUGAACAGUGGAUUUAUACAAGCACUGUAGGGUUAUGAAAACAUUAUCUUGGAUCAGCUUCUGGGACUAACUUUAUAUAUCAGGAACUCUUCCCUGGAUCAAGAGUUGAAAUAACCUGGACAGAUUACAAUAGCUAUAGUAGGUCUUCCAUCUGGGGCAGUUGGGUAUACACAAGCUUUAAUGCUAUCAUUUAAUCUUUUUGCAAACCACACAUAGCAAAAUUUUGAUUCACAUCCUACUGGAGACACUCAAUAAUUACUUCUAGCUCCUCAGUCUCUCUUUUAAUAUUCUGUCAUUUCUUACCACUUGCAUGAAACAGGAGACACGUAGAUAUAGCUGUGGGUUCCAAUUUUUGUGUUUUUCUUUUCUCCCUUUCCCUGAAAAAAAAAAUAAAGACAGGUUUUGUUGGAAUGAGUAGUAUUUUAUUUUAUAGCAGAAGCCAGUAUUUGAUUAGAAUAUUUAGUCAGUGAAGUUUUAUCCAUUUAUGACAUCUUCUAUCUUCUGGACAAAACGCUUCUGACAUAGCUUACUUUUUUAUGAGAUGGACAAAUUUAAAAACAAUUUUUCUUUUUUAUUAUAGAGGUAUUCCAUGUUUGAUUUCUGCAUUCUAAAGUAUUAACUGAAAACAACAUUGUUGGCUCAUUCCAAAUGAAAAACAUGGUAACUGCUGUUCCCUAAAUUUAUUUAUCUAGAGGGCAGGUCUGAGAUCCCAUGCACUUAUUUGUUCUUUCUUUCACAAAUAUUUGUUUAAAUUUUAUUCAACCAAUGUUUAUUGAGUUCCUGCCAUAUGCUAAGUGCUAGGGGUACUUGAAUUAACAAAAUGGACAAAAUGUCUAGCCUCACUAAACUUAUCCCUAGUGGAAGACUCAACAAUGAGCAAACAAAUAUUUUAUGGGGUAAAACCAACAAUAUUUCUGAUGAAUUAACUGUGGGGAUGUUAGACAAAAAGAAGAGCCAAGGAUGAAUGCAGGGAACUUAGCUUGAGCUAAAUCUACAAAACAGGAGACCAUGGAGGAGAAGCAGGUUUGGUGGCAGGCAGACUGGGACUGGGUCAAGAACUCUGUUUUAGACCCUUUAAGUGUGAGAUGCCUAUGAGAUAUCCUGGUGGAGAUUUCAUGGAGGAAGUUGGAUGUAUAAGUUAAGUUUAUGGUGUAGACUGAAAUUGAGAAUAUGUGUUUGGGAUAGUACUUAUAGCUUUAGGGCUAGAUGAGAAUUUCAGGAGUAUGUUGAUAGGGAAGAUAAGCAUUAUAAAAACUAAACUCAGGGGCUCUCUAAAUUCAAGAAUCAGGCAGAGGAAACAUAUAUUAUAGGGGGCAUGUACCAUCUGCCGGGCAUUAAGCUAAGGGCUGAAGAUACAAAGAAGAGAAGGCAUUAACUAAACUCAUUGAGGACAGGGAAUGUGUUUUAUUCUCUUCAGAUUCCCAGACCCUAGCACAUUACUAGCCACAUAAGACUUUAUUUAACAACAACAAAAACAUUGAAAGGUGGGACUACACAGAGUCUAGUGAUAAACCAGAAAUUAUAAUUAAUCCAAUUCUGUGCAUAUGAAAUCCUAUUAGAAAAAAAUAAAGCUCAUAUUCCAGUGAUAGAGGCAAAGAAGGCAUUACAACACAGCAUGAGUGUUUAUCAAAUAUAAUUUUGUUCAAAAUGUUUUGGGAGUGUAAGGUAGGGACAGCUAUGUCUGCUCUGGGUUAUCACCAGAAGAAGUGAUGCUUCAGAGGAGAGAAUUCUCACCAGGCACACAAAGCUGAGGGAGGGCAUUUGUCAGAUUAUUGAAGUCCUACAAUUUUGCUGCACAAUUUGGUGUCACUGGUUCCUGGGUGGAGUGAACUUCUCCACUAUCAACUCUCUGUAUUUUCCAACUUUGACUUUAUAAUUAAUCCAUUUUCCAUGACAAAUAUGUUUAUCUCUUUAAGAAACUGAUUUAAACAAAUAAACAUCUAUUUAAUGCCUACCUUACAUAUUAUAUUCCUAUCUGCCUUCAAGAAGCUUUCAAAUAAUGGAAUGAGAAACAGAUGUUAGUAGUCAACUACAAGGCAAGCCAAGAUAACGUCCUAAACAGAAGUGCGAAGAGGUGUUGUAGGCAUACAUCAGAAAGAAGAAAUGCUUUUGACCAAGGAUCAAGGAAGGCUACAGAGAGGAAAUAACAAUGAGCUUAUUCGUGGGACUAUAUAACAUAAGGGAGUGGAGUAUAUUUCCGGUUGAGGAAACAGCAUGAGCAGGCAUAAAUAUAAUAAAAUGUUUGGUGUGGGAGAAGCAGUGAAAUGUGAUGUCAAUGAUUGGGGGGAUGUUCCAGGAGACUGGCUAAAAUGUUUUUGGCAGAAAAAUCAGGAAGGGCUUGGGAUACCAUGCUGAAGAAUUUGGACUUUACUUUAUAGGCAAUGGGGAUGCUUUUCUGCAAAGGGAAGAGAACUUUUGGGCAACUCCUCAAAUAUCAAAUCAAUGGGCGACAACCCUGAGUAAGGUUGAAAUGUUUCUUAUGACUAAAAAGUAGAGUGAGAAUAUUAUAGCCUACUUCUACUGGGAAGGGUUUGUAUAAACCAUAAUCAUAUCUUUUAAAGUCCCAUUAAGCCUUGCUUCUAGUCCAUUAGUUUGGGAAUGUUAGGCUGACAUUUUUAUUCAUGUAACCCCAUUGUACUUUCAGAUAUUCCUAUAUCCAAGAGAGAUAAGUAAACCCUUAGUCUGAUCAUAGAACUUCUGAAUAUAUAUGGUUAGUUGAUGACACAUUUCUCUCUCCAGUUACCCAAGCUCCAUGAAACAAUCAUAAAGGAACAAAAGAACAAAGUAAUUGGGGGAAUAUAACAACAAUGAACAGAGUUCCUUCCUGAAGAGACCACAGCAUGGUGCUGAAGAGCGUGAUCUCAGGAAUACAGAUCUGGAUUUAAAUCCCUGCCUCAGGUGACUUUGUGAACCACGUAUCCUCUAUGGAAAUCAGUUUCUUCAUCAUUGAAAUGGAGAUAACUGGUAUUAUCCCCAGUGAUUUGCUUGCCUUUCUUACACUGUCUUGAUAUCUGCAUCUUUGAGAAUCCAAACUGACACAGUUGUCACCAGAACUGGACCAAGAAGGCAAGUGGCAAGAUGGGGUUUGGAAACUGAAUCUCUAACCACCAUCUGGCUAUGUUUUACCUCAGUGCUAUGUUAACUCUGCCAUGCUUGUUGAUAAUAAAAUUCAAAGAGAUAUGGACCAUCUGGACAUACCGCAGGAUAUCAUAUUGAUCCAGUACAUCUGUGAUAUCAUGCUAAUUGGACAAGGUAAGCUAAAGCGACUACUCUGCUGGGGGCCUUAAUACAAUGAUGUGCUUCAGAGGAUAGAUGAUGAACUCUACAAAGAUAAAGUAAACUGCCACUUCAUAAAAGUUUUCAGGGGUUCCUUGCCAGGAAUCCCGUCCAAGGCAAAAAAUAAAAAUAAAAAAAAAAUUCUGUAUCUUGCAUCCAACUACAAAUA